rnacentral:rRNA from 1 species
UACGUAGGACCCGAGCGUUGUCCGGAUUUACUGGGUAUAAAGGGUGCGUAGGCGGCCUUGUGCGUCAGAGGUGAAAUAUCCGGGCUUAACCCGGAGGGUGCCUUUGAUACGGCAGGGCUUGAGUGCGAGAGAGGAUGAUGGAAUUCCUGGUGUAGCGGUGAAAUGCGUAGAUAUCAGGAGGAACACCGGUGGCGAAGGCGGUCAUCUGGCUCGUAACUGACGCUGAGGCACGAAAGCGCGGGGAUCAAACAGG